rnacentral:rRNA from 1 species
UUCGGCGGGAUUGCCCCGGGCGCCUCGUGUGCCCCGGAUCAGGCGCCCGCCUAGGAAACUUAACUCUUGUUUUAUUUUGGAAUCUUCUGAGUAGUUUUUACAAAUAAAUAAAAACUUUCAACAACGGAUCUCUUGGUUCUGGCAUCGAUGAAGAACGCAGCGAAAUGCGAUAAGUAAUGUGAAUUGCAGAAUUCAGUGAAUCAUCGAAUCUUUGAACGCACAUUGCGCCCGCCAGUAUUCUGGCGGGCAUGCCUGUCUGAGCGUCAUUUCAACCCUCAUGCCCCUAGGGCGUGGUGUUGGGGAUCGGCCAAAGCCCGCGAGGGACGGCCGGCCCCUAAAUCUAGUGGCGGACCCGUCGUGGCCUCCUCUGCGAAGUAGUGAUAUUCCGCAUCGGAGAGCGAUGAGCCCCUGCCGUUAAACCCCCAACUUUCUAAGGUUGACCUCAGAUCAGGUAGAAU